AUUGAACGCUGGCGGCAGGCUUAACACAUGCAAGUCGAGCGGAGAGAGGUAGCUUGCUACUGAUCUUAGCGGCGGACGGGUGAGUAAUGCUUAGGAAUCUGCCUAUUAGUGGGGGACAACAUUUCGAAAGGAAUGCUAAUACCGCAUACGUCCUACGGGAGAAAGCAGGGGAUCUUCGGACCUUGCGCUAAUAGAUGAGCCUAAGUCGGAUUAGCUAGUUGGUGGGGUAAAGGCCUUCCAAGGCGACGAUCUGUAGCGGGUCUGAGAGGAUGAUCGGCCACCCUGGGACUGAGACACGGCCCAGACUCCUACGGGAGGCAGCAGUGGGGAAUAUUGGACAAUGGGCGGAAGCCUGAUCCAGCCAUGCCGCGUGUGUGAAGAAGGCCUUAUGGUUGUAAAGCACUUUAAGCGAGGAGGAGGCUACUUUAGUUAAUACCUAGAGAUAGUGGACGUUACUCGCAGAAUAAGCACCGGCUAACUCUGUGCCAGCAGCCGCCGUAAUAC
rnacentral:rRNA from 1 species